CAUAUAGAAUUAAGGCUAAAAGGUAGACUGCAGUGUUUAAGUGAUAAAAAUAUAUUGUAUUUAUCAGAUACAAUUUUUGUUCACAGUGCUCGCCAAAUGGCAGGAGACGGAAUCACAUAUCCAGGGCACACCCCAGAGUCUGCUUCUGAGAAUGAACUCCAGAAAAAGUUUAAAUUAAAUCUCAUAACAAAGUUUCAGUGUUUGCAUGGAGUGAUAACAAACCCGGGGAACCAAACCCUCCUGAGUGAGAUCUACACAGAGCUCUACAUCACAGAGGGAGACAGUGGAGAAGUCAAUAAUGAACAUGAGGUGAGGCAGAUCGAGGCAGCAUCCAGGAGAACAACAACAGAGGAAACACCAAUCACAUGCAACGACAUCUUUAAGCCUUUAUCUGAACAAGAUGAACCCAUCAGAACUGUUCUGACAAAGGGAGUCGCUGGCAUCGGAAAAACAGUCUCUGUGCAGAAGUUCAUUCUGGACUGGGCUGAAGGGGAAGAAAAUCAGGACAUCCACCUCAUAUUUCCACUUCCUUUCAGAGAGCUGAAUCUGAUGAAGGACCAGAAACUGAGUCUGAUGGAGCUCCUUCAGUUCUGUUUUAAAGAAACAAAAGAAACAGAAAUGUCCGGUUUGGAAAAGGUUCUGUUCAUUUUUGACGGAUUGGACGAGUGUCGUUUUCCUCUAGAUUUCCAGAACACAGUGAGAGUGUGUGAUGUAACUGAAUCAGCAUCAGUGCCGGUGCUGCUGAUAAACCUGAUUAAAGGGAAUCUGCUUCCCUCUGCUCUCAUCUGCAUCGCAUCAUUCAGACAAACAUCAUAAGAGAAAAACACUCAAAGAAGCAGGAGAGUGAUGAAGAAAUGCUUCUUAAACUGGGACAACUGGCUUCUCAGCAGCUGAAGAAAGGGAAACUGAUCUUCUAUGAGGAAGACCUGAGAGAGUGUGGCAUUGAUGUGAGAGAAGCAGCAGUGUACUCAGGUGUGUGUACACAGAUCUUCAGAGAGGAGUUUGGGCUUCAACAGAGUAAAGUGUACUGCUUUGUUCAUCUGAGCAUUCAGGAGCACCUCGCAGCUCUGUAUGUGUACCUGACCUUCAUGAUGGAAAAGAGGAAUGUUCUUAAACAGAAUCAGGUCUCUGAACAAGAGAUAAAAGAAAAUACAAUCUCAAAUCUACACAAGAGUGCUGUAGAUCAGGUUUUAGAAAAUCAGACUGGACAACUGGAUCUUUUCCUUCGCUUUCUUUUGGGUCUCUCACUGGAGUCCAAUCAGAAGCUCUUACAGGCCUUAAUAACACAGAGAGGACACAGAUUCCAGAGCUUAAAGCGUACAGUUCGGUACAUUAAAAAGAAGAUCUGUUCCACUGUCUGAAUGAACUGGGUGAUAAUUCUCUAGUGGAGGAAAUCCAGCACUACCUGAAAUCUGGAAAACAAAGUGAACUCUCUUCUUCACAGUGGUCUGCUCUGGUGUUUGUGUUACUGACCUCAGCACAGGAGCUGGAAGAAUUUGACCUGAGUAAAUAUUUCAGUACAGAUAAGAUAACAGAAGCUGUUCUUCUGAAGAUGAUGCCUGUGAUCGCAGCCUCCAGAAAAGCAAUUUCAUGGUCAGUAUGUUGUUCUCUGUUCACACACACCAUUUGAGAGAAGGUAAAUAUAACACCCCAUUUGAUCAAUAAUAAAUUCAUUUAUAAACACAUUAUGUAAAUCAAGAUUUUAAAAACUAAAGUGCUGAUGAGCAUGUCAUUGUGUCUCUCUACAGAAUGUGUGACUGUAAUAUCUCAGAUGAAGGCUGUGCUGCUCUCACUUCAGCAAUGAGCUCAAACCCAUCACAUCUGAGAGACCUGAAUAUGUCUCUUAAUAAACUAGGAGACUCAAGAGUGAAGAGUCUCUCUGCUGUACUGGAGAAUCCUCACUGUAACCUGGAGACACUGUGGUAAGACCAUCUCUCUUUUCUCAGUCACAUGUCUGCAUCUACUGAAUCCUGAACAAAGGUGAUGCACUGCUUUCAAAGUAAUGCAUUUUAAAUAACAGAUCAAAUUAACAGAUCAAUAACAAUAACAGAUCAAAUUUUAUCAUGAUAAAAUUAACACAAAAAUGCUCACAAAUCAUUAUUGUGUUGCCAAUUAAACCCCAACCCACCACUUCACAUAAUGUCCCUUAUCAAGAGUGAGCAGACAUGACAAAUACAUCAUCUUCACAAAUAUGAAAAAAUGCUCUGUAUCUUCAUGUUAUCCCAGACAGACUCGAUGUUGUUGCAAUCAGGGCUCUGUGGGGGCCAAACCAUCACUUCCAGGACUCCUUGUUCUUCUAUACACUAAAAAUAGUUCUUAAUGUCAUUGUCUUUAUGUUUGGGGUCAUUGUCCUACUGCAGAAUAAAUUUGGGGCCAGUCAGAUGGGGGACCAUCCCAUGAUAGUUAAGUAUCUGCCUACAUUUCUCAGCACUGAGGACAACAUUAAUCCUGACUAAAUCUCCAACUCCAUUUGCAGAAAUGCAGCCUCAAACUUGCAAGCAACCUCCACCUUCAUCAUGCCUACAGACACUCAUUAUUGUAUCAAUCUCCAGCCCUUUGGCAAACAUUUUUCGCAUAUUUCAAAUUUUGCCUCAUCUGUCCAGAGCACCUGCUGCUAUUUUUCUGGCACCACAGAUCCUAUGUUUUCAUUCAUAGUUGACUCUCUUCUUCCCUGAAGACCACUUCUGGCUAGACUUCUUCUGACAGUAGAUGUUUGUAAAUGGGUUCUUUGCUAAUGGCACUGCUGGACAUCUUCUGAUGUAGACGGGAAGUAAGCAUGAUGUGUCUUUCAUCUGCAACUCAACGUUGCCUGUCUCUUUGUGCUUCUUCAAAA